rnacentral:pre_miRNA from 1 species
GGCAAAGAGCUGUGUUGCCCUCUAGGAAAUGUAUGUCGCAUUAGAGUAAUUAGGCUGACAAGCAUUUCCCUGAGGGCGGACG